UACGGAGGGUGCAAACGUUGCUCGGAAUUACUGGGCGUAAAGCGUGCGCAGGCGGUGAUGUAAGACAGAUGUGAAAUCCCCGGGCUCAACCUGGGAACUGCAUUUGUGACUGCAUCGCUGGAGUGCGGCAGAGGGGGAUGGAAUUCCGCGUGUAGCAGUGAAAUGCGUAGAUAUGCGGAGGAACACCGAUGGCGAAGGCAAUCCCCUGGGCCUGCACUGACGCUCAUGCACGAAAGCGUGGGGAGCAAACAGG
rnacentral:rRNA from 1 species